rnacentral:rRNA from 1 species
ACGGUUACCUUGUUACGACUUAGCCCCAGUCACCGGUUUUACCCUAGGGCGCUCCUUGCGGUCACGCACUUCAGGCACUCCCGGCUUCCAUGGCUUGACGGGCGGUGUGUACAAGGCCCGGGAACGUAUUCACCGCGCCGUGGCUGAUGCGCGAUUACUAGCGAAUCCAGCUUCAUGGAGUCGGGUUGCAGACUCCAAUCCGAACUGAGACAGGAUUUCGGGUUCCGCUCCCUGUCGCCAGGUGGCUUCCCGCUGUGCCUGCCAUUGUAACACGUGUGUCGCCCCGGACGUAAGGGCCGUGCUGAUUUGACGUCAUCCCCGCCUUCCUCACAGCUUGCGCCGGCAGUCCCGACAGAGUGCCCAGCCUGACCUGAUGGCAACUGUCGGUGGGGGUUGCGCUCGUUAUGGCACUUAAGCCGACACCUCACGGCACGAGCUGACGACAACCAUGCAGCACCUCGCAGGAGGCUCCGAAGAGCUGCCUCCUUUCAAAAACAUCCCUCCUGCGUUUGAGCCCGGGUAAGGUUCCUCGCGUAUCAUCGAAUUAAACCACAUGUUCCUCCGCUUGUGCGGGCCCCCGUCAAUUCCUUUGAGUUUCACCGUUGCCGGCGUACUCCCCAGGUGGAAUGCUUAACGCUUUCGCUUUAUCACG